GAAAGUCCGAGGCAGUAGCACGAGCGAGGAGGAUGUUCUACUCUCACCAGCUUCUCGCCCGCAAAGCUCCGCUCGGCCAGAUAUGGAUGGCCGCGACUAUGCACGCGAAGAUCAACCGAAGGAAGCUCGACAAGCUCGACAUCAUCAAGAUAUGUGAGGAAAUCUUGAAUCCAUCGAUCCCAAUGGCGCUCAGACUUUCCGGAAUUCUGAUGGGUGGAGUCGUGAUCGUCUAUGAGCGGAAAGUGAAACUCCUCUAUGACGACGUCACUCGUUUCCUGGUUGAGAUAAACGAGGCUUGGAAGGUUAAAUCUGCUCCAGAUCCAACAAUCCUGCCCAAGGGAAAAACUCAGGCCAAGAGAGAAGCUGUUACUCUGCCAGACAACCAGGAGACAGAGAUCGGUGAUAUUGAGCAACCCCUUAAUUUCUCUGAUGCGACGGCCACCAUGGGUUUCCAACACACGGCUUACUUUGCUAUGCGACUAGACAAUGUUGACGAGACCUGCAUGAAUGACAAUGAAAAGAAUGAGGACCAAAAUCAGAACUUUCAUCAAGCUGAUGCAGCAAAUAUAACCUUAUUCGAUCAUUUUGAUCCUUAUCAGACUGAUAGAGAACUAUUUAAUCACUUUGAAAGGUUUGAUAUAGAGGGGGAGGACGAGACUCAGGCCAAUUUUGCUUCAGGAGAGGAUGCACACAUACCAAGUACUCUCGUACCCUCACCACCAUUGCCAGACGAUGCUCAGAGAGAUGAAGUUCAAAAUCAACAUCCAGAAAGCCAAAUUAAUCAGGAAACUGAUGAUCUCAAGUUUCCUCAUCAGGAUAAGCAGAGACAGGGACAAGCCAAGAGGAAAGCUAAAAGGGCAGAACCUUUUGCCAUGGACUAUGAACAGACGAUCAUCCCUGGAAAUACAUACCAAUCAUGGCUGCAAAACUCUUCAAGCAUUGUCUCAAAAAGAGGGAGAAAGAGAAAGCGUACGAGUGUGAUGACCAGCAUGAAGAUCGCUCAUCUCAUGGAGCUACCGCCGACAGUGCUAGCAUGUGGUUUACUUAACGAAAAUAGACGCGUCUAUUAUCCUCAACCUCUUAUGGAGCUGUGGAUGAGAAGUAUCCAGCCUCCCCAUGACACACCUUCUGGAAGAACAUCCCUGCCCUUGCCACCAGAACCCUCGUCGUCAUCCCCCCCAGAGAGAGCAUAUUAUCAAGAUUUAGGGGCACGGCCUUUCAAAGAUGUACACAUGGAGGUCAACCUGCAUUCACAAGAUGUCUCCAUAGAGAAGCUGCGGAAUAAUUUUGAAAAUCAUGAAAUGCCCCCGGAAAUUUUCAUGGAAGGUUUAAGAAACAAUCUCAUCCACAAUAAGACAGCGGUAGCAGAUCCAGACCCAAUGGUAACUCCAGGAAAUUCAGGGGAUGAUGUAAGAUCCAUUCCAAGCUCAGCUUCUGGACACAACUUCAUAGCGCACAAUGCAGAAGUCAACUCUGGACGAUCCAGCAAGAAGCGACCCUUAUCUUCAUCUAGAAACAGCAAUAGUGGCCUCGAACCUGUAGCUGAGGAAAAUUCAUGGUUAAACGUGGAUCCCAACUUCAAGUUAUCAAGGCUGCCUGAAGACGGCCAAACACCUGAGCAAGAACUACUGGUGGAAACUGGACCAACACAAACCCAACGCCCAAUCAGCAGUCCUCCUGUUGACAAGCUUACAGAUACCAUCCGCACCCAGAUGAAAGAGCAUUUCGAGACUCCUGGGGCCCCCAAGGAAGAAUCUCUGAACCACCUCGCCACUGGGAUGAGCCGAAGAGGAGCAGCUACGCUCUUCUAUCAGACUUGCGUUCUUGCGACUCGCGAUAUGCUCAGAGUUGAACAAAGGGUGCCUUAUGGAGACAUACUCAUUUCUCGAGGAGCAAAAAUGUGACUCCGCUUACGAUUAAAACAAGGCGGACCCAAACAUGUCCUUCCAAAUUUUGCUUCGGGACGACAGCCUAUUCUGUUGACACUAGGCAACUCUUAGACUGAGUAAAGGCAGAAAAGAGUGGAAACCGUCUGAAUAGGAUUAACCAAUCUCGGACCCCCACGAAUAUCUGUGCUUCGACCCACAUUGUCAUCGUUUUCAGUUGCAUAAAGAAAUCGAAACGGAAGCAUUCUCCGACAGAUGCUCGUUCUGCGUUCAGAACGGGAUGGCAAAAUCCCGAAGCGCUAACAACUUCAAGUAGCAGAACAGGGUCGACCCCGGUCAAAGGAAUUUGUCAGAAGAAGGAAAGAAUCGAUAAUCAUCAUCACUGUGGGAAAGUAAAUGAAUUGACACUUUGACAGAGGAUAUCACCAAAUGACGUGGACCCACAAUUGCUUCAUGCCCAAAUAAUUAGCGCCUAAGGCAGAUACUAAGCAUUUACUAU